ensembl:snRNA U6 U6 spliceosomal RNA
UAUUUCACAUUUAAAAAAUAGUUUCCAGUUGGAACAAUAUAGAGAAGAUUUGAAUGGCCCCUGUGCUAGGAUGGCAUAGAAAUCCAUGAAGCAUUCCAUAUUUGG